CGGACGGGUGAGUAACACGUGGAUAACCUACCUAUAAGACUGGGAUAACUUCGGGAAACCGGAGCUAAUACCGGAUAAUAUAUUGAACCGCAUGGUUCAAUAGUGAAAGACGGUUUUGCUGUCACUUAUAGAUGGAUCCGCGCCGCAUUAGCUAGUUGGUAAGGUAACGGCUUACCAAGGCAACGAUGCGUAGCCGACCUGAGAGGGUGAUCGGCCACACUGAACUGAGACACGGUCCAGACUCCUACGGGAGGCAGCAGCU
rnacentral:rRNA from 1 species